rnacentral:lncRNA from 1 species
UCCAUAAAGCAGAUCUGGUAUUUACAUAAGGAAUUUGUAGCAUCCUGGUCAGUUCCCAGGUUGGCUGAAGGCUUUGAUGCAGCACCAAUGUGAUCCAAAGGGUUUUCAAAAGCAGGGUUGUACCAACAUUGGAGCAGAAACUGAAGCUGGAUCAAAAAGUCCUUGUUGCCCUCUCACUCAGGCAGCUCCAGGGCUCUGGAGACAUCUUGAAACUAUUCUCUGCAGGGCACUCUGUAUCAGGCUCUUUGCUGAAGCGAGAGGAUGAUGCCUCAUCGAAAGGCCAGAGUCAGAGCAUGGCUUUAAACUGAGAGUGUCGAAAACUCACAGUACAUACACUGCGAGGUUACAGAAGGGAAGGAAAAAUGGAAUCCAGGGCCUGGAGGAGAGCUUUAUGCCUGUCGCUGCAGCCUUAGGCAUAAAGGGCUGAAGUACUCCAGCAGUGAUUGGGAAGCCCAGAACGACUGUCAGCAAUGGAUUGCCAAAUGAUGAGGAGCUGGAGGAGUUGAAGUUAAGGGAACCAGGUGACCAAACUUCAGCAACAAAGUAGAGCACAUUGGCCUGUGAGUUCUGGGACAGCAUCGGGAGCUUCCUAUACAGAAUUUGA